AAUUACAAAAUCGUCAUUCCUUCAUUAUAAUUCAGUUUCAAUUGCCAUUUGUGGGCCCAUAGCACCCAAUUUAGGGUCUUGGACCCCUAUAUCACAUCAGUUGGGGUUGCAAUGUUUUGAAGAUUGAUACUUGCAUGGAAUGAUGAUUUGCAUAAAGUGGGGGGGAGAUUGGAAAUUAUU